AACGAACGCUGGCGGCAUGCCUAACACAUGCAAGUCGAACGGAUGGUUUCGGCCAUCAGUGGCGCACGGGUGAGUAACGCGUGGGAAUCUGCCCGGCAGUGGGGGAUAACCUCUGGAAACGGAGGCUAAUACCGCAUACGCCCCUUGGGGGAAAGGCUUGCUGCUGUCGGAGGAGCCCGCGUCGGAUUAGGUAGUUGGUGGGGUAACGGCCUACCAAGCCUGUGAUCCGUAGCUGGUCUGAGAGGAUGAUCAGCCACACUGGGACUGAGACACGGCCCAGACUCCUACGGGAGGCAGCAGUGGGGAAUAUUGGACAAUGGGCGCAAGCCUGAUCCAGCAAUGCCGCGUGAGUGAUGAAGGCCUUCGGUUGUAAGACGUCUUCGUCCCACGACGACUGAUGACGGUAGU
rnacentral:rRNA from 1 species